rnacentral:rRNA from 1 species
AUUGAACGCUGGCGGCAUGCCUUACACAUGCAAGUCGAACGGCAGCACGGGAGCAAUCCUGGUGGCGAGUGGCGAACGGGUGAGUAAUAUAUCGGAACGUGCCCAGUCGUGGGGGAUAACGCAGCGAAAGCUGUGCUAAUACCGCAUACGAUCUACGGAUGAAAGCGGGGGAUCGCAAGACCUCGCGCGAUUGGAGCGGCCGAUAUCAGAUUAGCUAGUUGGUGGGGUAAAGGCCCACCAAGGCGACGAUCUGUAGCUGGUCUGAGAGGACGACCAGCCACACUGGAACUGAGACACGGUCCAGACUCCUACGGGAGGCAGCAGUGGGGAAUUUUGGACAAUGGGCGCAAGCCUGAUCCAGCAAUGCCGCGUGCAGGAUGAAGGCCUUCGGGUUGUAAACUGCUUUUGUACGGAACGAAACGGCCCUUUCUAAUACAGGGGGCUAAUGACGGUACCGUAAGAAUAAGCACCGGCUAACUACGUGACAGCCGCCGCAGUAAAAC